UCUCGGUAUAUUUCGGAAUGACUGUUACGCUGUGUCCCAAUCUAUAUCUACUGUUUUAACAAAUGAUAACUUUUAUUAAACGUAUGUUAUUACUAGUCAAUGAAUUUUUGGCAUGGACUUAAGAAUAUAAGAGCAGCUGACUUAUCGCAUAAUUAAUGAGUAAAUAAACAUAGUUGGAAUUAUGCUUAACAAUCUUCAAAGUAUUGUCAGUGAAAACAAAGUGAACGUUUUUUUUCUUUCAUUUCAAUCUAUUUUUUAAUUUGGAAUUUUGCUAAUGUAAAAAUCAGUUCAACGAAAUUCUUCCCGUUUUGUUCAACGAGUACCUGACUUGUUG